rnacentral:rRNA from 1 species
GAUGAACGCUGGCGGCGUGCCUAAUACAUGCAAGUCGAACGGGGAGUAGCAAUACUCUUAGUGGCGAACGGGUGAGUAACGCGUUGGUACCUGCCCCGAAGCGGGGGAUAACGGACCGAAAGGUCCGCUAAUACCCCAUGUGCUCGGUAACGAGUAAAGGUGAAAACCACUUUGGGAGGGGCCUGCGUCCCAUCAGCUAGUUGGUAAGGUAACGGCUUACCAAGGCGAUGACGGGUAGGGGACCUGAGAGGGUGGCCCCCCACAAUGGAACUGAGACACGGUCCAUACACCUACGGGUGGCAGCAGUAGGGAAUAUUGGUAAUGGGCGCAAGCCUGAACCAGCAACGCCGCGGGUGCGAUGACGGCCUUCGGGUUGUAAAGCACUUUUGACUGGGACGGGGAAGGACGGUACCGGUCGAAUCAGCCUCGGCUAACUACGUG